ACCUGCCUGGCUCAGUCCGUAGAGCAUGAAACUCUUGAUCUCAAGGUUGUGAGUCUGAGCCCCAUGCUGGGUG
rnacentral:tRNA from 1 species